rnacentral:lncRNA from 1 species
GAUCCCUCUAUGAAAAGGUGAGGCUGUCAGGAAUUGAAACUGGCCUUUUGUAAGAAGAUUCCAUGUCUGAUAUGCAUUUUGUGGAAGGAAUCUGUAGGUAAGUUUGAAGAA